rnacentral:rRNA from 1 species
CCUCAGUAACGGCGAGUGAAGCGGCAACAGCUCAAAUUUGAAAUCUGGCCCUUUCAGGGUCCGAGUUGUAAUUUGUAGAGAGUGUUUCGGGUGAGAUCACGGUCUAAGUCCAUUGGAACAUGGCGUCAUAGAGGGUGAGAAUCCCGUAUGUGACUGUGGAUCGAGCCCAUGUGAAGCCUCUUCGACGAGUCGAGUUGUUUGGGAAUGCAGCUCAAAAUGGGUGGUAAAUUUCAUCUAAAGCUAAAUACUGGCUGGAGACCGAUAGCGCACAAGUAGAGUGAUCGAAAGAUGAAAAGCACUUUGGAAAGAGAGUCAAACAGUACGUGAAAUUGUUGAAAGGGAAGCGCUUGCAACCAGACCUGUCCGUAGGUGACCAGCCGCUGUUCUCAGUGGUGCACUCGCUCUACGAUCAGGCCAGCAUCGGUUCCGGCGGUCGGAUAAAGGCCUUGGGAAUGUAGCUUCCUCCGGGGAGUCUUAUAGCCCUCGGUGCAAUGCGGCCAGCCGGGACCGAGGACCGCGCUUCGGCUAGGAUGCUGGCGUAAUGGUUGUAAGCGACCCGUCUUGAAACACGGACCAAGGAGUCUAACAUCUAUGCGAGUGUUUGGGUGUCAAACCCAUGCGCGGAAUGAAAGUGAACGGAGGUGAGAACCCUUAAGGGCGCAUCAUCGACCGAUCCAGAUGUCUUCGGAUGGAUUUGAGUAUGAGCAUAGCUGUUGGGACCCGAAAGAUGGUGAACUAUGCCUGAAUAGGGUGAAGCCAGGGGAAACUCUGGUGGAGGCUCGCAGCGGUUCUGACGUGCAAAUCGAUCGUCAAAUUUGGGUAUAGGGGCGAAAGACUAAUCGAACCAUCUAGUAGCUGGUUCCUGCCGAAGUUUCCCUCAGGAUAGCAGUAACGUUUUCAGUUUUAUGAGGUAAAGCGAAUGAUUAGAGGCCUUGGGGUUGAAACAACCUUAACCUAUUCUCAAACUUUAAAUAUGUAAGAAGUCCUUGUUACUUAGUUGAACGUGGACAUUUGAAUGCACCGUUACUAGUGGGCCAUUUUUGGUAAGCAGAACUGGCGAUGCGGGAUGAACCGAACGCGAGGUUAAGGUGCCGGAAUGUACGCUCAUCAGACACCACAAAAGGAUGACUUACAGGAAGGGUCUUACCGUUCGGGGGCUGUUUCGGGGAGGUUUCAACGAGCAGCCUGAGUUGACAAUUUCACAUCGACUACCCGGGGAUCAGAUUUCACAUCUGCUAUCCGGCGAUUGAUGUGUUAUUGUCUAGGCUCAAUUCCUUGAGGGAAAAUAAAAUUGUGGUGUCGUGCCGCUUGAAAAGUUAAGGGAACAGUCUCGGUGAAGGCGAGGUCUUUGAUUUACAGGGGCUCGCUUUAAUUAGCUCACCCUUAGUCGUGUUUAUUACGACCCACAGAUCAAGCAAGGGCCGGCGGUAGAGCUUAUAUCUAUCCGCUUAAGAUAUGAUCGGCUUUCAGGUUAUAAGCCUGAGAAUUAUGCGCAAAAGGUGUUGAUUCAUCUAGACAGCCGGACGGUGGCCAUGGAAGUCGGAAACCGCUAAGGAGUGCCGUGUGCUUUAAGCGUCAGCCUUUUGUUACAUGCUCCUUACAGAAUACGAAUUCUAGAGACUUUUGAUUCUCCAUCGUUCCAAAGUCGUGAGUUAUAUCACGAGCCAUCCCGGGUCUCCGGGGUGGUCUACAGACUAAACAGAACGAGUCUCCGACCGGGAGGUUUUGAUAUAGUCGAGUUUGUGCCCUGCAGUGGGUACGAAUCAACGGUGUAACAACUCACCGGCCGAAUGAAUCAGCCCUGAAAAUGGAUGGCGCUCAAGCGUGCUACCCAUACCUCGCCGCCAGG